rnacentral:rRNA from 1 species
UACGCAGGGGGCUAGCGUUGCUCGGAAUCACUGGGCGUAAAGGGUGCGUAGGCGGGUGUUUAAGUCAGGGGUGAAAUCCUGGAGCUCAACUCCAGAACUGCCUUUGAUACUGAAGAUCUUGAGUUCGGGAGAGGUGAGUGGAACUGCGAGUGUAGAGGUGAAAUUCGUAGAUAUUCGCAAGAACACCAGUGGCGAAGGCGGCUCACUGGCCCGAUACUGACGCUGAGGCACGAAAGCGUGGGAAGCAAACAGG